rnacentral:misc_RNA from 1 species
UCUCCGUAGGUGAACCUGCGGAGGGAUCAUUACCGAGAGAGGGCCGUCUCCUCCGGGGGGCGCGCCCGACCUCCCAACCCUUUUGAACGACCGUACCCCGUUGCCUCGGGGGCCGACCCCUGCGUGGGGUCGCCCCCGGAGGGCCAACCCAACUCUGCGUCCUUGCGUCGGAGUCACGAAACACAAAUCGUAACCAAAACUUUCAACAACGGAUCUCUUGGUUCUC